rnacentral:rRNA from 1 species
AUUGAACGCUGGCGGAAUGCUUUACACAUGCAAGUCGAACGGCAGCAUAGGUGCUUGCACCUGAUGGCGAGUGGCGAACGGGUGAGUAAUACAUCGGAACGUGCCCAGUCGUGGGGGAUAACGUAGCGAAAGUUACGCUAAUACCGCAUACGCCCUGAGGGGGAAAGCGGGGGAUCGCAAGACCUCGCGCGAUUAGAGCGGCCGAUGCCUGAUUAGCUAGUUGGUGGGGUAAAAGCCCACCAAGGCGACGAUCAGUAGCUGGUCUGAGAGGACGAUCAGCCACACUGGGACUGAGACACGGCCCAGACUCCUACGGGAGGCAGCAGUGGGGAAUAUUGGACAAUGGGCGAAAGCCUGAUCCAGCAAUACCGCGUGAGUGAUGAAGGCCUUAGGGUUGUAAAGCUCUUUUAGCAGGGAAGAAACACCGGCUCUAACACAGUCCGGGAAUGACGGUACCUGAAGAAUAAGCACCGGCUAACUACGUG